CUUAAAGGACUUGAAUGAGGUAUCAGGUGAUGGAUAGGUACUCUGAAUACGGGAAUAAUUCCUGAUGAGGUGUUUUAAUAGCCUUGUUUUCAUUUCUGAAAUUCCCUCUAACUAGAUGCUUAUCAAUAGAAUUUGGACUCCGUGUCUCACAGCUUAUUCUUAAGUAGAUCUUUUGGCCAUAGAUAAAUUAAAUAACUCAGGUGCAUCAAAGGACUGUAUUUAGCACCAAAAAGUCUUGGUUGGUAAAAUGCCUUUGUAAGCUUCUUUAUAACUCAAAUAACUUUAUAUUAGCAUAUUUCACUUUCGAUGACCUUCAAUACUCUCUCAGGAUCCUGGAAGACAGAUGAAGACUGGAUUCAACAAGAUUACCAAGUUGGAUAACUAUUACUGCUCGGAGCAAUUAUGAAGCCUAUCACUUCUAUUACCAUCUUCCACAGUGUUACAAGAUUAGACUUCGAUGUGACAAGAGGAGGUCAAGGAGGCAGAAGUACUGAGAUCACAAGGAAACUGUCUUUUGUCUGUGAUGCAGAAGAUGAGGUACACGUUGCUACGAAUGGCACUUCCUCUCAGCCCUUCUGGAGACAGUCAUAAGGAUAGGAAUAUCACCUUUCGAUAUCUGAGCUGUAUGCUUGAAUUUUCUUUUCACAUCUCUCCAGUUUCAAGAAGAACCCAAGUGAAUCACGCUGUCUGGCUAUAAAAAGAGAAACUGAAAGAAA